AUGAGGGUGAGGAGAUGGUCAGAGAGGGUAGGGCAUUUAGAAAGGGACAUGAUGUACAAAGGCACAGUACGUUAACAAGUAAAUGUGAUGUGCGUGGCUACAGCUGGGGCAGUGUAAACAUAACUAUGGCCUAAGCAACCAGCACACUAAACUCAAUCUUCUCCCUGGGCUACUCCUUUAUAGAUAUUCUUUCGUACUUUGAAGGGGACAUCCUAUCACCUGGUUCCAAGCCCACAACAUUUCCAGUUGACACCCUGAUAUUCAGAAUCAUGGUUCAUAUGUUUUCUUUGGAAUUCCCUGCCAACUGGCCACUCCCCUCACCUGGAAAGAACCUGAGGGCCUGACUACCUAGCAGUGCUGAGAAGUUCCUUGAGCCCUUGUGCUGGUGAAGAAUUCUACAGCAAGGGACUACAGACUGUCAAGAGUACAAGAAGCAGCUUUUUAAGCUGAGAAGAAAAGACCUUUUAACAAAAGGAUUCAUCGAUGACCUUCAGAGAGGAACCCAACUCCUGUGACUCCUUUUCCAGAGCUGUUCACAGUUCAUGAGGGCACAGUGAAGAGAACUCCCCAUCUUUAAAUUACCAAAAGUGACUUUUAACACCAGCUUUUCAAGUAAGGAUAGACAUUCUGUUAGAGACCGUCUCAGAAAUCUGGCCAUGAGGAAAAAGAUGGUCUCAUGUAUACAAUUCUGACUGCAUCUGAGCAGCAACAAAGGGGCAGAGGAAGAGAUCAGAGCAGAACCUUUUGGACAACACAAGGCAAUAAAGGCAACUGUCAUCUUGUACAGAAA